GGGCAGACGCCUACCUAGUUCAGCUCUUCAUUCAGGGAGGAAGCUGGGAUCCAGGGCGGGCAAUGGUUCCAGGAAACAUUUGGGCAUGUGGCCCAGAGACUGCGAAUGGAUAGAUCUCUGGCCUCCUCCAACUUGGGUCUAAAUGGACCCAACCAUUAGCUACUUGGCAUCCCUCAGCCUCGCCAGACUGACAGCUAAUUAAGACUUUGGUGCCACUAGCCUAACUGCUCCACUGCAUGCAAGGAGUACAGAGGUUCGGAAGGGCCAGAACAGGGACAGCCAGAUUCUCCACUGCUCCAGGUCAGUCCAGCUGGUCAACUCCUUUAUUACAUUUUCAACAUUUCAACUGAAUGGGAGGGGCCCAGCACCUAGGAGUGAUGGGGAACGUUUGCUUCCUUUUGGGGUUCUAACAACAUUUACAAACAAAAACAAAAACAAACAAACAAAAAAAACAUUUACCAUGUUUUUCCUGGGAAUGAACAGAAUCUGAGUUCAAUUUAGAGAGUAUAGGGUAAGCAGAACCAAGUACAGAGAAGAAUUUAAUAUGACCCCCAGCCCACCACCCAAACAUGAUUGGCAGCAUCCCUUGGUUUGCUUUGGAGCACGUCAAGGGCCAGUUUCUUUCUUUUUUUUUUUUUUUUUAUUUAUUUAUGAUAGUCACACAGUGAGAGAGAGAGAGAGGCAGAGACACAGGCAGAGGGAGAAGCAGGCUCCAUGCACCGGGAGCCUGACGUGGGAUUCGAUCCCGGGUCUCCAGGAUCGCGCCCUGGGCCAAAGGCAAGCGCCAAACCGCUGCGCCACCCAGGGAUCCCCAAGGGCCAGUUUCAAGCAAAUCACAAAGGCCAAGUUACUGUUCUGAAAGUGAUAGACUCAGAGUCCAAUCACCCUUGCCCCUUUCAGGAGGCGUUACCUCAAUGCUCCCUACUUUAUUACCUAGCAUCCAGCUGGGUAUCUGGAGAUUCAAGAGGCCAAGAUUGAAAAAAAAAAAAAAGUUAAAAUAUAAUUUUUAGGGACGCCUGGGUGGCUCAGCGGUUGGGCGUCUGCCUUUGGCUCCUGGGGUCCCGGGAUGGAAUCCCACAUUGGGCUCCCGGCAUGGAGCCUGCUUCUCCCUCUGCCUGUCUCUCUCUGUGUCUCUCAUGAAUAAGUAAAUAAAAUCUUUUAAAAAGGAAUAAAAUAUUAAAAAUAUAUAAUUUUUAGAUAUCACAAAAUAUCUUAAAAGAUUCUAUUUAUUUAUUCAUGAGACACACACACACACACACAGAGAGGCAGAGACACAGGCAGAGGGAGAAACAGGCUCCAUGCAGGGAGCCCGACGGGGGACUUGAUCCCAGGUCUCCAGGACCACGCCCUGGACUGAAGGCAGCGCUAAACUGCUGAGCCACCGGGGCUGCCCUCAUAAAAUACUUUUGAUGGGUCUAAAAAUAAGUAAAACCACAAGAAAGUAGAGACCCCUGAGAGUAAAUGGGCAGAAACUGGGAAUGGAAGAGGGCACUCCAAGGAAAGAAACCCAGUCGAAUAGGUCAAGAAAGGUCUUUCUCAUCCCCAGUUUGGCAAACUCGUACACGUUUGUUUUUUUUUUUUUUUUUUUUUUAAUGAUGAAAAGGCCUAAUGGUGGCGAUGUACACAUUUGGGGGCUGUGGACAGUCAUUCUGAAGGACAGUCUGAUGAUGGCUUAAGAGAAAGUCCAGGGCAGCCUGGGUGGCUCAGCGGUUUAGCACCACCUACAGCCCAGGGCAUGGUCCUGGAGACCCAGGAUGGAGUCUGCCUGUGUCUCUGCCUCUCUCUCAUGAAUAAAUAAAAUCUUAAAAAAAAGAAAAAAAAAAAAGAGAGAGAGAGAGAAAGUCCCUACUCUUUAAGCCAGUAAUUUUGCUUCUAGGAGUCUGUACUUAUUAAGGAUUAGGAAAUUGGGAAAACCUUCAUACUCAGUGAUGCAUGUCCUCUCCUAGGGGUUAUUAACUUUUGAAGGGAACUAUAAACAACCUAAAUGCCCAGGCAGCCUCAAAGGGAGGCCUCAGAAGCAUGUGGAACAGCUUGAUAACAAAGGCAGGUGUCCUAUUAUGAUGUUGAAUGAAAACAGCAGGGUUCACAGAAGUACAGCCAAAUCGAAAAUCACAGCUGAGUCCUUAAAGCAGAGCGAAGGCCACAAGGGACAAGCACCACCUAGUGAGGAUAAGACUGCUUCUGCCCUGGGGGUGUGAAGGUGCUGGCACUGGGUCUGGCCUGAUGGCUAACUCACAGGGUCCAGGGUCUGCAGGGGAAACUGACAGGAAGAGGCAGGGAUGAAUUUCACACACUGUGGGUUUGGUCUUCCGCGACUGAUAAACUCUUCUCUAGGAACAAACGAGCAGGCAGAGGAAAGCCUGAAAGUCCUUGCGGUGCUUGGAAAAACCAAAGUGACCAAGUCAAAUGCACCUCUUGCUACUGUGGGUGUUAACAAGUCUGUGGGAUCCUGAGGUCAUCCUGGCUCCAAAUCAAGGAUCAUCCCCGAGUUGGUUUUAGGGCCUUAGGAGCCAGUGUCUUUUCGUCCUUUGCCAUCUUCUCUGAGCCCCUGCUGCUGCUGGAAGCCACCUACAAGGGAGGGGGGUGACCUGCUGGCUGCUCAGCUCUGCAUUGUCCCAGCAGACACCAUGGCACUGACGCAGAGUCCGAGGAGCAAGGCGCCACCGGCCCCCAACCACAUAGAGGAGGUGCGCCUGCACCAGGUGGAAUCCAUCAGCGACCUACACAGCGGAGGUGCAGCCGUGGGACGAGCUACUGGGCAUCUUGCCACCAUCGCUGUGUGCCCAGGCUGGCUGUAGUCCUGUGCAAGGCCGGGGAGGCUUCCUGUUGCUGCUGGCAUUGCUGGUGCUCACCUGCCUGGCGCUCGCCAUCCUGGCUGUCUAUCUGAGCGGUAAGGCGGAUGGUGCAAGGGGCAAGUGGGAACAGAGGGCCAGGAACUGGGACCGGAGGGCCCUUCUGCACACCUGGAGGGAGCAGCUACAGAGGCUGAGGCAGUGAAGGGGGGGCAGGGAGGUGUAGGGUGGCACGUGGUCUCAUCACCUCCAUUCCUGCCCACCCACCCAGUGCUGCAGAGUGAAUCUCUCCGCAUGCUGGCACACACACUUCGCACUCAGGAGGAGACGCUACUUAAACUCCGGCUCGCCAGCCUCAGCCAGCUGCGGAGGCUCAACUCCACUGAGGCCCAAGCACCCA